CUAUCUUUAUCGUUUUACCUGCUCACCCUGCCCCUGCCUGGUUUCCUAGGUCAAAUUAGGAAUUAAUCUUACAGCAAAGACCCCCUAUUUCAAAAACAGACAAACAAAAAACCUCUGUCUCAGUUUCUGCCUGCCCAAAAGAGAUGUUUCUACUAGUCAGAACAAACAUCAGAGAUGGACUUUGAUCAGAAACUCAGGAAGUGGGAGAGGAUGCAGGUCAGGUUAAGAGAAAUAGUGCAGUUCCAACCCUGGGCAGCCCUAAGUAAGAGUCAUCAGAAGCUUCCAGGCAAUUGUCACUGAAAAAUAAGUGCUAUAGCACUACCUCAGCUGCUGCAACCACAGACCUCAUUCAGAAAUCUUUAUUGUAUUAACCCUUGUGUGUCCGGAAUUGGUGGGUUCUUGGUCUCACUGACUUCAAGAAUGAAGCCUGGGACACUCACGGAAUCAAGACAACUCACCAGAAAAAGGACUGAGAACUCCUUCUGGAUGAAGAUACUUCCUAGAAGGCUAAAGCUCUAUAACCAUUGAAAGCUGGCUGGGGGAAAAGAAGAAGAGGCAAAAAGAUCAACUGAAGAAUAAACUGCUGUCAUUGGCACAAAAGAAUACCACAAAGAUUAUUUACAAAACUCGAAUCAGGAGUAGAACAGACCUCCAUGUGGAAGUUCAAUUAUGCUAAGAGGAAAGAGGAAAGGGGAAGAGUUUACAGAAAUAAAUUAAUGAUGAUGAUAAACUAUUUUCAAGCCCUUACAUUUUUUUUUUUUAUGGAGUUUCGCUCUGUCACCCAUGCUGGAGUGCAAUGGCAUGAUCUCAGCUCUCUGCAAUCUCCACCUCCCUGAUUCAAGCAAUUCUCCUGCCACAGCCUCCCGAGCAGCUGGGAUUACAGGCAUG
rnacentral:lncRNA from 10 species